rnacentral:rRNA from 1 species
GAUGAACGCUGGCGGCGUGCUUAAUACAUGCAAGUCGAGCGGACGGACGAGAAGCUUGCUUCUCUGAUGUUAGCGGCGGACGGGUGUGUAACACGUGGAUACCCUACCUAUCAUUCUGGUAUCACUUCGGGAAACCGUAGCUAAUACCAGAUAAUCUUCUGAACCGCAUGGUUCAAAAGUGAAAGACGGUCUUGCUGUCACUUAUAGAUGGAUCCGCGCUGUAUUAGCUAGUUGGUAAGGUAACGGCCUAUCAAGGCUACGAUGCAUAGCCGAACUGUGAGGGUGAUCGGCCACACUGGAGCUGGGACACGGACAUGAGGACUAAGGGAGGCAGCAGAAGGGAAUGUGCCGCAGUGGGCGAAAGCAUGGCGGAGCAGCGGCGCGUGAGAGAUGGCGAUCUUCGGAGCGUGAAACUCUGUUAUUAGGGAAGAACAGAUGUGUAAGUAAAUGAGCACAUCGUGACGGUACCUAAUCAGAAAGCCACGGCUAACUACGUG